rnacentral:rRNA from 1 species
GAUGAACGCUGGCGGCGUGCCUAAUACAUGCAAGUCGAGCGAACGGACGAGAAGCUUGCUUCUCUGAUGUUAGCGGCGGACGGGUGAGUAACACGUGGAUAACCUACCUAUAAGACUGGGAUAACUUCGGGAAACCGGAGCUAGUACCGGAUAAUAUUUUGAACCGCAUGGUUCAAAAGUGAAAGACGGUCUUGCUGUCACUUAUAGAUGGAUCCGCGCUGCAUUAGCUAGUUGGUAAGGUAACGGCUUACCAAGGCAACGAUGCAUAGCCGACCUGAGAGGGUGAUCGGCCACACUGGAACUGAGACACGGUCCAGACUCCUACGGGAGGCAGCAGUAGGGAAUCUUCCGCAAUGGGCGAAAGCCUGACGGAGCAACGCCGCGUGAGUGAUGAAGGUCUUCGGAUCGUAAAACUCUGUUAUUAGGGAAGAACAUAUGUGUAAGUAACUGUGCACAUCUUGACGGUACCUAAUCAGAAAGCCACGGCUAACCACGUGCCAGCAGCCGCGGUAAUACGUAGGUGGCAAGCGUUAUCCGGAAUUAUUGGGCGUAAAGCGCGCGUAGGCGGUUUUUUAAGUCUGAUGUGAAAGCCCACGGCUCAACCGUGAAGGGUCAUUGGAAACUGGAAAACUUGAGUGCAGAAGAGGAAAGUGGAAUUCCAUGUGUAGCGGUGAAAUGCGCAGAGAUAUGGAGGAACACCAGUGGCGAAGGCGACUUUCUGGUCUGUAACUGACGCUGAUGUGCGAAAGCGUGGGGAUCAAACAGGAUUAGAUACCCUGGUAGUCCACGCCGUAAACGAUGAGUGCUAAGUGUUAGGGGGUUUCCGCCCCUUAGUGCUGCAGCUAACGCAUUAAGCACUCCGCCUGGGGAGUACGACCGCAAGGUUGAAACUCAAAGGAAUUGACGGGGACCCGCACAAGCGGUGGAGCAUGUGGUUUAAUUCGAAGCAACGCGAAGAACCUUACCAAAUCUUGACAUCCUUUGACAACUCUAGAGAUAGAGCCUUCCCCUUCGGGGGACAAAGUGACAGGUGGUGCAUGGUUGUCGUCAGCUCGUGUCGUGAGAUGUUGGGUUAAGUCCCGCAACGAGCGCAACCCUUAAGCUUAGUUGCCAUCAUUAAGUUGGGCACUCUAAGUUGACUGCCGGUGACAAACCGGAGGAAGGUGGGGAUGACGUCAAAUCAUCAUGCCCCUUAUGAUUUGGGCUACACACGUGCUACAAUGGACAAUACAAAGGGCAGCGAAACCGCGAGGUCAAGCAAAUCCCAUAAAGUUGUUCUCAGUUCGGAUUGUAGUCUGCAACUCGACUACAUGAAGCUGGAAUCGCUAGUAAUCGUAGAUCAGCAUGCUACGGUGAAUACGUUCCCGGGUCU